UGGGGAAUAUUGGACAAUGGGCGCAAGCCUGAUCCAGCCAUGCCGCGUGAGUGAUGAAGGCCCUAGGGUUGUAAAGCUCUCUCAGCGAGGAGGAUAAUGACGUUACUCGCAGAAGAAGCCCCGGCUAACUUCGUGCCAGCAGCCGCGGUAAUACGAAGGGGGCUAGCGUUGUUCGGAAUCACUGGGCGUAAAGCGCACGUAGGCGGACUUUUAAGUCAGGGGUGAAAUCCCGGGGCUCAACCUCGGAACUGCCUUUGAUACUGGAAGUCUGGAGUCCGAGAGAGGUGAGUGGAACUCCGAGUGUAGAGGUGAAAUUCGUAGAUAUUCGGAAGAACACCAGUGGCGAAGGCGGCUCACUGGCUCGGUACUGACGCUGAGGUGCGAAAGCNNGUGGGGAGCAAACAGGAUUAGAUACCCUGGUAGUCCACGCCGUAAACGAUGGAAGCUAGCCGUCAGGGUGCAUGCAUCUUGGUGGCGCAGUUAACGCAUUAAAGCUUCCCGCCUGGGGGAGUACGGUCGCAAAGAUUAAAAACUU
rnacentral:rRNA from 1 species